GCGUGCCUAACACAUGCAAGUCGAGCGGAUGACGGGAGCUUGCUCCUUGUUUCCGCGGCGGACGGGUGAGUAAUGCCUAGGAAUCUGCCUGGUAGUGGGGACAACAUUUCGAAAGGAACGCUGAUACCACAUACGUCCUACUGGAGAAAGCAGGGGACCUUCGGGCCUUGGGCUAUCUGAUGACCCUAAGUCGGAUUACCUAGUUGGUGAGGUAAUGGGUCACCAAAGCGACUAUCCGUAGCUGGUCUGAGAGGAUGACCUGUCACACUGGACCUGAAACCCGGUCCUGACUCCUACGGGAGGCUCCAAUGGGGAAUAUUGGACAAUGGUCUACAGCCUGGUCCAACCAUGCCGGUGUGUGAACAAGGUCUUCGGAUUGUAUCUCACUUUAAGUUGGGAGGAAGGCAGGAAGUUAAUACCUUGCUGUUUUGACUUUACCUAUUGAAUAAGCACCGGCUAACUCUGUGCCAACACUCGCGGUAAUACAGAGGGUGCAAGCGUUAAUCGGAAUUACUGUCCGUAAUGCUCGCGUAUGUGGUUCGUUAAGUUGGAUGUGAAAGCCCGGGGCUCAACCUGGGAACUGCAUCCAGAAGGGUCAUGCUAAACUACGUACUGGGUGGUGGAAUUUCCUGUGUAACUUCCAAAUGCGUAGAUAUAUGGCGGAAAACAUUGGCGAACGCGACGCCUGGGCUGAUUCUGUCGACUGAGAUUCGAAACUGUGGGGAGAAAGCAGGAGAACAACCUGAUAGUCACCCCGGUAAGCCAUGCCACUAACCAUUAGGAAUCAUGAUAUUUAGUGGCCCCCCUUACCAUAACUUAACGAAUGAGGCUUCGCCGCGAGAUCAAACUAUG
rnacentral:rRNA from 1 species